CAAUCUUAUAUAGUCAUCUCAGGGACAUUUAAGUUAUUCAAAUUUCUAUUAUUUGUUUGGGGGGAAUGUUAAAAAUACAAACUCACUGAUUUUCUUUCCCUCUCACUAACUGAAUUUGAGUUUAAACGUCUUUCUCUGUUGAUAUAAAUCAUGUGUGUCACUUUACAUUUUCCUUAAAAGCCUCCAAGAAGACCACCACACAGUGAGUUUGUUUUUUCAAUGUCGGGAACGUCUGAGUGACUGAAAUGUGGAGGUUUCUGAUCAGAGCCGCGACACAUGUAGGUCAUUCAUCAUCACGAAUGGUAAUAAGGUGAAUGGACCCAAGACAAUCCUGCAGAUUCUGGACGUUAACAGUGUGACACAGAGUUGUGAAGUGGGAGAAGCUGCCAGUAUUUCUAAUAUGUGGAGACUCUUGUUCCUGAGAAAACUCAGAUCCUUAAAUUGUGUGCAACAAGAUGUUGCAGAUCUUUUCCAAGUCUGUGGUUUCAAGUACAAUUGUCUUAGUUGCAGUGUGUUGGGGCAGUUGCAUCAGAGCCGGCGACCCAACCAGGCUAAACAAAGUGAUCAGAAAGGCUGGAUCUGUUCUGGGAGCAACUCUGGACGUGUU